AAAGCAGAAUUUACAAAAAGAGCAGUUUGCUCCUUGUAGUACAUCUUUCAAAAGACAUCGGCAUCAAUUAGAUAAUAC
rnacentral:lncRNA from 1 species